rnacentral:misc_RNA from 1 species
AUCGGGUUCAGACAGAGGCGGAUAUGGCGGCCGAGGCCAUGGAAGGAGGAAUCAAGAUGGUGGUUCAAAUGAUGAUAAACCUGCAAGCUGGAGCACAAGUUCAGGUAAUAAUGGAGGGUGGAGCAGUAGUAGUGGUGCAGGAUCUUGGAACCAAGGAGGUGAUGAAAAGAGCCAGCAGCAGAGUUGGAAGUCGAGCAAUGAUGGCGGUCAGGGAUCAGGUUGGAAGGAACCAAGUGGGAAUGAGCAAAAUAAUUGGAAAUCUUCUGGUUCUUCUGGUGCAGAUAAUAAUUCUGGCUGGAACAAAUCUGCAGGCAAGGAAAUCGAAGAAGGUGGUCGGAAGAACAGCUGGAGCCAAUCAACA